UUCUAGCUCUGGGAGGAGUCAGGGGUCUGAGGCUCUGGGUUGGAGACCCCACCUUCCACCUGCCCUCCUUGUCCGAGAGCCAAGGUGUGCCCGGAGAGGCUGAGCAGCCUGCGCCUGAGCUGGUGGAGGUGGAAGUGGGCAGCACAGCCCUUCUGAAGUGCGGCCUCUCCCAGUCCCAAGGCAACCUCAGCCAUGUCGACUGGUUUUCUGUCCACAAGGAGAAGCGGACGCUCAUCUUCCGUGUGCGCCAGGGCCAGGGCCAGAGCGAACCUGGGGAGUACGAGCAGCGGCUCAGCCUCCAGGACAGAGGGGCUACUCUGGCCCUGACUCAAGUCACCCCCCAAGACGAGCGCAUCUUCUUGUGCCAGGGCAAGCGCCCUCGGUCCCAGGAGUACCGCAUCCAGCUCCGCGUCUACAAAGCUCCGGAGGAGCCAAACAUCCAGGUCAACCCCCUGGGCAUCCCUGUGAACAGUAAGGAGCCUGAGGAGGUCGCUACCUGUGUAGGGAGGAACGGGUACCCCAUUCCUCAAGUCAUCUGGUACAAGAAUGGCCGGCCUCUGAAG
rnacentral:lncRNA from 1 species